CAGAUUGGACGAUCGGCGAAAGCCCGAGCCAUCCAUGCCGCGUGUGUGAAGAUGGUCUUCGACUUGUUCAGCCCUUUAAGUUGGCAGGACGUGCAGUAAGCUAAUACCUUGCUGUAUUGACCUUACCGCCAGACUAAGCACCGGCUACCUUCGUCCGAACAGCCACGGUAAUACGAAGGGUGCAAGCGUUAAUCGGAAUUGCUGGGCGUAAAGAGCGCGUAGGUGGUUUGUUAAGUUGGAAGGGAAAGCCCCGGGUUCAACCUGGGAACUGCUUUCAAAACUGGCAAGCUAGAAUAUGGCAGAGGGUGGUGGAAUUUCCUGUGUACCGGUGAAAUGCGUAGAUAUAGGAGGGAACGCCAGUGGCGAAGGCGACCACCUGGGCUAAUACUGACACUGAGGUGCGAAAGCGUGGGGAGCAAAC
rnacentral:rRNA from 1 species